rnacentral:rRNA from 1 species
AGAACGAACGCUGGUGGCAUGCCUAAUACAUGCAAGUCGAACGAACACUUCGGUGUUAGUGGCGCACGGGUGCGUAACGCGUGGGAAUCUGCCCUUGGGUUCGGAAUAACAGUUGGAAACGACUGCUAAUACCGGAUGAUAUCGAAAGAUCAAAGAUUUAUCGCCCAGGGAUGAGCCCGCGUAGGAUUAGCUAGUUGGUGAGGUAAGCUCACCGAAGGCGACGAUCCUUAGCUGGUCUGAGAGGAUGAUCAGCCACACGUGGACUGAGACACGGCCCAGACCUCCGUAGGGAGCAGCAGUAGGAAUAGUGGACAGUGGGACGACAAGCGUAGAUCCAG